GAUCCUGGCUCAGGAUGAACGCUAGCUACAGGCUUAACACAUGCAAGUCGAGGGGCAGCAUGGUCUUAGCUUGCUAAGGCCGAUGGCGACCGGCGCACGGGUGAGUAACGCGUAUCCAACCUGCCUUACACCCUUGGACAGCCUUCUGAAAGGGAGAUUAAUACAAGAUGUUAUCAUGAGUAAGCAUUUUCGCAUGAUUAAAGGUUUACCGGUGUAAGAUGGGGAUGCGUUCCAUUAG
rnacentral:rRNA from 1 species